rnacentral:lncRNA from 1 species
UUAUGGACGGAAGUCGCUCUAGUGCCAUUUGCAACAAUGGUUUAAUUAGAACGUUUCAUUAUAAUUAGAAAAUGAACACAUGACCUGAAUGCUCCCUGAGCACUGACAGAAGGUAAGUCUAUAGUUUUUUCUAUAUAAUCACACAAGCCAGGAUGAGUUUUCCAAAUAAAACUUAGCGUUGGAAUUUACCAGCAGCAGAGAGUGAGAAAUGGAAGGGAAAUUAAAAAAAAAAAAAAACUACAUAGCCAAGGUCUUACCAGAUUUCAGGUAAAAAUAAUUCAACUUACAAAGUGAUAUACUUGUUUUUCUCCUUUCUCAUUGUUUAAAGUCAAAUUCCAGAAAUUAAAGUCUUUAUUAUAUUGCCCUUCUUAUGCUAAAGCUGGAAAAGUAAAAAAGAAUGUUCAACAGCAUCACAAAAUGUUUGCUCUAAGGUAGCCUGAGAAGUAGGAGUGUUAAGACACAUGAGCCCUGUUCCCCAGGCCUUGGCAGAGAUUGGUAAACUUGCUUUUAGUGGCUAAGACUGUACCUGCUUUGUGCAGCUGAGAUGCACUGCGCAACUAAGAGCUUUAGGAGCAUGUGCAUAGACAGGUGUGUUCUCUAGGCCAUGCAUUUCAAUGUUUGAGAUAUUAUUUAACAAUAAAAAGCAGUGUUAUUCACUUAUCAGUGAGAUUCUGAGGGCUGCUGAGAAACGUGAUUGACAGCUUCAAAUGAAGAAGGAUGUGACACGUGAUCAGGAGACUUGGCACUAAGUUAUUUCCAGGACUUUCCUCACAGGUUAAGCUUACUCACUCAAAGCCCAUUCUCCAUGUAACUGUGCUAGUAAACUGUAAAUAGCGGUGCAGUGGAGCUGUGCUUGCUUAGAUGUCUGUUAGGCUAUCAGGCAAUUUAGUUGACACACACCAAAACUUGUUACUGGUCCAAUAACAGUGUCAAAGGCCAACAGAAGCUAUUUGGUUUCGUUCUUAAAGAUUUGUGAGAAAAGAUAGGGAAAGCUCUUAUCUUUUUUUUUUUUCUUUUCCUAUAUAGGAGUCAGUCUAUUGAUCAUUGUACUAAAAUUCCAAGUCAGAAUCAGACCCCAUGCAUGCUUGUUUGUUUAAAGAAGAGGAAACAAAUUUUCUCUCACGGAAGCAAGACCAACAAAACAGCCAGCAUUGCGCUUUUCUGUAGCAGUGACAUGGACUUGUUCAACAAGUCUGUUCUCAUUCUCCCUGCUGAAGAGAAGCAGUAAAUGCAGGCCAGGCUGAGGGCCAGUUGCUGUAGUGGGUGGCGCCAUCUCUUAGUGUCCCUCCAAGAACAUGCAUCUUCUCUUCCUUGAAGAAAACGCCACAAACGAAGAGUUCCUUGACAGGAUAGUCACUGUAUAGUACAGAGCCUGUGGGUGUGUCUUCUGAUCUGGACGGCCCUCGUCUAUACAUGCCCUGGUAGUUUAAGAUAGGUGAGACAUUGAAUAAACAACCUGUUAGAAAAGUAGACAUGAAAGUCCUAUUGAGAUUCUGUACCCUGGACAGCCAUUUGAUUACAAUUUGCUUUUCAGUCAUUUAACACAGCUUCUUAGUAAUAUUCACAGUGGACAGCCCUCUUAGGAAACAUUCAUUUGGAAGACAGAGGUGCAUUUUAAAGAGGCUUGGCUGCUGGUAAGAGCUCUGCUACUUACUUUCCAAGACCAGCAUCUAUCAG